rnacentral:misc_RNA from 1 species
AAAAAGGGGUUGGACAUGAAGGCAUUGGAAGAAGCCUUGGGUCAGAUGCUCCUAACACUUCCUCGGAAGCAACAGUUUACGUUGUUUAUGGAAUGGUUCAGGUGUUUCUCCAAGCAUGGGACUGAAUGCCCCAAUCUCAGCAAAGCAUUCCAGGUAUGGUGGCGCGGAUCAUUCUUAAGAGGCUCAGAAACUUAUGCCAUUG